rnacentral:lncRNA from 1 species
AGAGAAGGAAAAGUCAAAGCCCGAAGUGAUUUCCAGUCCACGUUGGCUUCUUGCCGUUUUCACUCACUGGACCUGCCCAGCGGCUGUUCAUGCUUCUUAAGAAAAGUUGAUCUUCUUGGAAUAAUCACCAGUUUGGCUUCUCAGAGUUCAGCCUGGCCUGGAAGAGGCACCUGAAGAGCCAGAAAUUAUACAUGCCUGUGGUUCUUCAAGUCACUUCUAGCCAUAACAGCAUGGAUUUCUUGGGCUCCUUUGCUUUUGGAUGGACCGGAUGUCUGCUAUGCCGUUCUCAUACACCUUAAGAACACUCCAGAAGGAGAGCCAUGGGCUUUAUUCCACUGAAGGAAGGAAAAAUCUGAGACAUGAACCUCAGCAGGAAUCUGCCCAAUACACCGAGUUCCAGCCCAGUUGGAGGCAAGGCUAGCUUAGAGUCAACAUGUAUUUUCUGGAUUCUAUUGAAGGUGGUAUGCAUUGCUUCUGUCUAGAACCCAGCGACAUAAUCAACGCAAUUGCAGAGUAGAUCGGGAAAUGCUGAAAUGCACAGAAAUAUAGGUGAACACUGAUGAUCUCUGGCAUUACGCACUUAGCCGUGGGCCUCAGAGAAAUCACCCCGUUCUCCCCUCCUUUUCCCUAAAAUGGGGGCAAUAUCCCCUAGCUUCUGGAAUUCUCAGGAGGAUUAAAUAAGAUAAUGCACCGGAAGGAACCUACCAGUACAGUGCCAGGCACAGAGCAGAGGCUAAAGCAACACCCCCCUUGCUUUUCAAUCCCACCCUUCCUCCCUGUUAGCUGUUCCUGAGAGCCCAUGGGAAAAGAGGAAGCAGGAUGGUCCACAUAUGGUUUUAAUUGGAUAAAUCAGGAGGUGAGGAGAUGCCAUUUGCAUUCUUUUCUGAUCUUCUCAAGGCGAAUGAGUAAUAGCUGGCUGUUUGGAAAGAAACUAUUAGCCUAUGUUGAGCCCUUCCUGAUGGCUUUGAUGGCCGUGUUUCUAGGAUCUGUUGGAAAGGAUAAAGGCACAGAAUGGUACUGCCAUGACAUCUGGGCACUACCAUCCAAAGCCAUAGCAGUUUGCUGGGUUGUUCUUGUAAGCUGAACAGAGAGAAAAGCAUGCUGUGUGCUCCCCAAAUUAUUAACACAGGUUCUGGGAGCUGACACAAUUAUAGUCUGCUUACUGGAUAAGCCGAAGGUGGGUGGAGGUUGUGCAUACAGAUGGCUCUGUCUCUCUGACUCAUGUCUCAAAGGUGUUGACACCUAGGGCCCAGCUUUGGGAAAUGCUCUAUUUGGAAAGGGUUGGCCGAUGGCCUAGGCUAUGUUCUCAUCAUCUAGAAUAUGUUAGAAAAGUCAGUCAGAUGGAAAUUCUGGCCUUCCUCUCCUUAAGGACUGUCAUCCCCUAAUUCCCAUACCCCCAUUUAUGCUAGCUGCUAUGAAUCGCUUUUUCUCUGCAACCUCUUAAUAAUUUAGGUUUAUAUCUUCAGGAUUUUUUUAAAGGUCCAAUGUAAGGCAGUUGUGGAAAUCAGUAUGGGUCCAAUGCCUUAAAAAAAAUACCACAUUAAAGUAGUAAACACUUGAGCUGCAAAUAAUAGUAACUGUGGUUUCAAAAUUAAAGGCAUUGAUUGUUUUACAAGGACGCCUAGAGGAUAGUAGUGCAGGACUGGUUCAGUACUCAAUAAUGACCCCCAAAUCUAUGCUUUCUUUAACCUUUCUACAUUUCCUUAGCUUACCUUGUUGGCCUUUCACCCUCGCGGAUGUUGUCACAUGGUCACAAAACAGCUUCUGUAGCUCCAGGCAUCACAUCAGCAUUCAGGGCAAGAAGAAGGAAGAAAUUAAUAGUACUAGUUCUAUCUGUCCCUUUUAUCAGGACAGACAGCAAAAGCCAGCCUUAAAAUACAGAUCAGGAUAAACAAUUGUUUUCAGCUAAUGUAAUCAAACUUUAGUUCCAAAUUCUUGAGUUUCUCUUCAUGUUUCUGGAAUCAGUCUCUUUUCCCUUACUUCCCUGUGGAAGCAACCCUAGACUAUAGGCUAGGGUUGUAUUUUCCUAUUUUCCUCUGGCAUAUCUCUUAAAGACGGAAAAAGAGACAUUCAAAGAUGAGAGGGAGAGACAGACAGACAGAGACAGAUGACAGAGGGGAAAGAGAGGGAAUUAUGCAGGAUAUAGAGAAAGCUAUUUUGAUCUAUUUCAGUCAAUUUACUUUUUUUGUGUGUUUAUUUUAUUCCCCACCCCUAUCUUUAACAUCACCUGCGGUGAUUAUACCUGCUUUCCCAGUGAGGCCCUGUCCCUCAGUCAUUGAUAGUAUAAUUUCAGAUUCUCAAGUGGUGAUGCAAGAAUGCCCAGCGUUGAGAAGAUGGCUGGCUAAUCAAGCUUCUUGCUAAAUUUGAGUGGAGCAAAAAAUGAAAACUGUUAUAGAUAUAGAAAAGUUUUUCUUUUUAACAAAACUCUCUAGGAAGGGAUCUGGUAUUUAGACAGAAGAGUUUUCAUGCCUGCUUUAGCAUUUUAUUUAUUUGUAAAUAAAAACUGACUUUAGACACCAGUUCAUUCAAACAUUAAAACAAUUGAUUC